GUGCGCAUAGCUCAACGGUAGAGCAUCGAGCUUAUACCUCGACGGUUCUAGGUUCGAAUCCUAGUGCGCACA
rnacentral:tRNA from 1 species